rnacentral:rRNA from 1 species
CUUGGUCAUUUAGAGGAAGUAACGGUCGUAACAAGGUUUCCGUAGGUGAACCUGCGGAAGGAUCAUCAACAAAUCUAUACGAAGGGGGGUAAAAGCCCUUUCUAAACCAAUGUGAAUCGCGCACGCUUUGUGCGAUGUUAACUAUAUACCGAGUCGGAAAAAAACAUUAAUUAAAACAACUUUUAACAAUGGAUCUCUUGGCUCUUGCAACGAUGAAGAACGCAGUGAAUUGCGAUAAGUAAUGUGACUUGCAACCUCUGUGAAUCAUCAAAUCUUUGAACGCACCUUGCACUCUCUGGGUCUACUGGGGAGUAUACCUGUUUGAGUAUCAGAAAGUACUCUACACUGUGGUGUAGGUGUUGAGGCGUCAAGUGUUGUGCCUCUAAAGGGAUGCUGUGCGAGUGCGGUAGGAAUAGGUAGUAUUCUCCCACUUUUGAGCAGCCAACUUUUAUUGAACAUUUGAUCUCAAAUCAGGUAGGACUACCCGCUGAACUUAAGCAUAUCAAUAAGCGGAGGA